ensembl:lncRNA
CUGCAGUCCCUUAAUGCUGUCAAUAAAUAAUGAAAUAAUUAAAAUAAAGGUCUUUUCAAUCAGAUUAUUUGAAGCAAGCAAAGAACAGAUUUUUUUUUUUAAAAAGUCAAAGUCAAUUUUAUUGUCAUUUCUUCAAUAUGGACAUGACACACCAAGGGUGGAAAUGACCUUACUCUCUCUUCAUGCAACAAUAGACAUUAAAUAGACACUUAGAAGAUUCUGAGAUGAAAAAAUAUAACAUAAAUUUACAAAAAUAAAAAAUAGGAUUUAAAAAGGCCAAAAAUUAAGUAAAUGAAGAACUAGAAAGCAAAAAUCAGGUCAACUAAGAACAACGGAAGCAAAACUGGAACUAAGUAACAAAUACACAACUAUUGAAACGUUUGGGGUCACUUAAAAAUGUCCUUAUUUUUGAAAGAAAUGCAGUUUUUUUUCAAUGAAGAUAACAUUAAAUGAAUGAUAAAUCCAGUGUAGACAUUGUUAAUGUGGUAAAUGACUAUUCUAGCUGGAAACAGCUGAUUUUUAAUGGAAUAUCUCCAUAGGGUUAGAAAUGUAAACAUGGCCGUGAGAUAAAGUGGUAGAUAUGGGACAGAAUAUUAAAAACAGUGCAGAUGAGUGACAACAGUAGAGGAAAUAAGUAGAGUAAAUUUGUUUGACUGUUCACUCCAACGUAUCGGUAACUUCACUGCAAGUCUUAUAAAAUCACGACUUUAGUGUCUGUUUUAGGAUUUUAUUGAUAUUUAAGGCCGAUAGAACAAUUAAUUAGCUUUGAAAUUGCAUCUUGAAACAUUCUACCACAGUAAUGUCUUUGCACGGAGCACUGUGGGAUUUAAAACUGGAGAAUUGAUUGGUCAGGAGGAGGUGUUUUAAAGUGCAUUUAUCUGCUGUCGUGAAUAUAAACUGCUCAGUAAGAAGUGAAGCAGCUCGUAGUUACUUCAGAUCCAGCCUCGUCCUACAGAACUCUGCACACGCCUGACGCCGGGUUCCGUUUUUAAUUUGGUGUCUUCAGCGUGUGACGGCUGAACGUCAGAGCAAAAUGUUAAGUUCAGAAAUAAGCCUUUGCUCUUUGGUUGUGAUGAACCGACUCCAGCGGCUGACCUUUACAUUUGACGUUUUAGACUGUUGAUUUUCUGCCGUCUCACUCGGCUGCUGCUGCUCUAAAAGUACCUCAAAGCGGUGGAAAACUUAACGUUUAGCGACUCAAACGAAACAUGUGACUCCAACAGGAGACCAGAUGUGAGGAUUUGACUGUCAAACAACCACUUCCUGGGUCGUUUCAGAGCUGGAGGAUAUUUGGGCUUCAAAAUGUUUGAAAAAUAAACCUUCUCUUUUACAGUUUUCUGCUCCAUAUCGAUCAAUAAUAGGUAAUAAACUAUCAAAGGCUUGAUUGGCUCAGCUUCCACAUCAAUGGUAGCAUUUUUAUUCCAUGUUUUCUGUGUUGUUUGCUAACUCUAAUCACAGCAACAGGGUUGCUAACAGCAAUAACAAAAACAAGACAGAAAACAAAAACGAGACAGAAAACAACAAAAACAAGACAAAAACGUCAUUAACAGGUUGUGCUAACAUGUUGUGGGACACACGUUUCAUGUAUAAUUACUUAAAAUAUUACGUUGAUUAACAAAAAAUGUUCCCACAAUUACAGAGACAACAAUGAAAAAAAUAAUACCAAAAAGGACAUUUAAAUGUAAUUUUAAGUGUUUUAUUUGAGAUUCAGUUUGGUCAUCAGGGACGUGGGACAAGAGAAAAAUGGCAUUUUAAGGGGACUCCAGACUUAUUUGGUAUUUUAAAAAUAUUUUCAAACAUUCUUUUCUCCUAAUUUUGUUUUUUAGAUUUGGUCUCAGGACAAGAACAUUUACACAACAACUGCAUGUUUUAGUAUUUUGUACAUGGAUUAUUGGAAAUUUGAUGGUGGGACAUAAAAUGUCCCCUAAUUCUGGAAUGAUGCUCAUCAGCCGGUUUGCAGCCUGACAGGUGAUUUUCCACCCGCUGACAAAAUAACUCGAGUGCUUUGUUUCACUGAAAUGCAGGAAGUUUCUGUAUUCCACCUGAGCAGCCCCUCAGGGUGCUUUUUCCUUUAAAGGGUUACGGAGGAGGAUCCGGCCUCUCGCUCACUUCGGUUUUAAUUAUUUCUACUUUGUGUCACGAAGCGCGGGAGUGAAAAUCCAUCACAAUUAAGAGAAUGCGAACGCAUCUUUGUAAACCCAGAGAGGGCGAUGCACAGACUUCAGAGGUGUGAUCGGCAGCAGAAACGAUGAGCGAAGAGCAGAGUCACUCCCACACAUUGUUUUCUCUGACGUUCCCUCUGAAGUCGAACAUCUGGCUGCGAUUGCUUUGGGCCAUCCCUGGCAGCGCUGAUCCGUCUCAGCGACUAUAGAUUACUCUGGUUUCAGACCGCAAACAAACAGAAACAAAUAACUAUGUGCAUUAAAAUUCAAUUACAAGAAGCAUUUUUUUUGGCUUAUUGUGUUUUUUUGUGUGUGUGUGGGCGGAUCAGUGUUGUUAUUCUGAGUAAAAUCUUUAGGCUGUAAAAUCUAUCGAUCCUGGACACACACUGAUUAUUCUGCAGCCUCACCCACUCUGCCAUCUUCAUGGAAGUCAUCAGGAACAAACUGAUGCUUCCUCCGCAGGUGUUCUACGGUGUGUUGGACAUGUCACCAUGGUGACGCUGUGGUGGAACCAGUGGUGACACUAUAAAGCCAAUGGUGACACUAUAAAGCCAAUGGUGACACUGUGGAGCCAAUGGUGUGACUAUAAAGGCAAUGGUGACACUAUGGAGCCAAUGGUGACACUUUGGAGCCAAUGGUGACGCUCAGUAUACAGAAGUGAGUACACCCCUGUGCAGUAAACAUCUCAGUGAUGGCAGUACUUCUAAUCUGCUUGCUGUGAUGUAAAAUGAAAAACCAACAGCUUAGAUUUACUAUAUUUAAAACAACAGACCCUGCAGUAGGAGCUCAGUGCAACAGAAGUGAAUUCUGAGGUUCCACCUUUAUUCAUUGAGACAAUUAAUCUUGCUCAGCAUUGAGGAAACCAAAUUGCUGCUCAGAUGUCACGUCAUUCUAUUUUUUCAGCUUCUCUUUGCUGAAAGGGUUUUGUUGCUCGACCUUCCUCUUUAAAACACACCCAAAGAUGUUCCAUUAGGUUCAAGUCCAGACACAGAUUUUCCACGUCGUACUUUUCACUUCUUUAGACAUUCUUGCGUCAUGUAGUUCUUUGGAUGAUUCUCUGUAUUCUGGUUUAUCCUCAGACAUUCAUGACGCAUCCAGAAAUGUCAUCAACACCUUCCUCAUACAGCUCCAGAUCAUCAUACCACCACCUCCGUGCUUCACUCUCAGGACUAUACAUCCACUGUGGUGGUCCUGGUCAGGUUCACACCGAGCAUCUGGAUCCAUCUGAGUCCAACUCAUUUAUCUUCAUCUAACCAAAGAAUGUUCUUCAACAUCCAUCAGACUUCUUCUCAUGUUCUUCAGCAAACUUUCAUCUGGAAGUUUAGUUCUGAGCAGCAACGAGGUUUAGUUCUUGUCCCCCGUCCAUAGAGGUUGAUGUUCUGAAGGUUCCUUCAAACUGUCUGAGCUUCACACUAACUCUGGUUUCCAUGGAGAACACCUGAACCAAGUCUGAAGCAGCUGCUGUCUGUUUUUACAGCUGGAUGGAGAAAGUAGUUCACUGUCUGUGGAGUCAUUUUAGGAGCUCUGAUUAGUGGAACUAUGACUCCUUCUAGACCUCCUGAUUAGUGGUACUAUGACUCCUUCUAGACCUCCUGAUUAGUGGAACUAUGACUCCUUCUAGACCUUCUGAUUAGUGGAACUAUGACUCCUUCUAGACCUCCUGAUUAGUGGUACUAUGACUCCUUCUAGACCUCCUGAUUAGUGGUACUAUGACUCCUUCUAGACCUCUUGAUUAGUGGAACUAUGACUCCUUCCAGACCUCCUGAUUAGUGGAACUAUGACUCCUACAAGACCUCCUGAUUAGUGGUACUAUGACUCCUUCUAGACCUCCUGAUUAGUGGUACUAUGACUCCUUCUAGACCUCCUGAUUAGUGGAACUAUGACUCCUUCUAGACCUCCUGAUUAGUGGAACUAUGACUCCUUCUAGACCUCCUGAUUAGUGGUACUAUGACUCCUUCUAGACCUCCUGAUUAGUGGAACUAUGACUCCUACAAGACCUCCUGAUUAGUGGUACUAUGACUCCUUCUAGACCUCCUGAUUAGUGGUACUAUGACUCCUUCUAGACCUCCUGAUUAGUGGAACUAUGGCUCCUUCUAGACCUCCUGAUUAGUGGAACUAUGACUCCUUCUAGACCUCCCGAUUAGUGGUACUAUGACUCCUUCUAGACCUCCCAAUUAGUGGUACUAUGACUCCUUCUAGACCUCCCGAUUAGUGGUACUAUGACUCCUUCUAGACCUCCUGAUUAGUGGUACUGUGACUCCUUCUAGACCUCCUGAUUAGUGGUACUAUGAGUCCUUCUAGACCUCCUGAUUAGUGGUACUAUGACUUCUUCUAGACCUCCUGAUUACUACUGUUCACUGAUUUUUAGUUGCUCUCUGACCUUCCUGGAUCACCUUUUGCACUCUUGCAGCCUCAUAUCAUCAUACUUCCACCUCCGUGCUUCACUGUCAGGACUAUGCAUCCACUGUGGUAGUCCUGGUCAGUUUGGUUGGAUGUUUUUUUUGUUUGUUUGUUAGUUUUUUUAAUCUUUGUGGAGUCUGACACUCAGAUCUUUCACUUCCCGUCUUCAAUUAUUUUCCAUGCGGAGCCAUGAUGCAGACAUAGACACAGGCCAUAGGUCCAAAACUGGAUGUUCUGCUGUUCACAGCUCAUUUUAGAACCAUGUUCAUGCAGUUAGACUGACUGGAAAUCACAGCUGGACUCAGUUUUGACUCACUUUUUCACUUGAUUUACUUUUGUUGCUUUGAGUUUCUACUCUGUGGUCCAACGUUUCAAUAUAUUCCUUCUGAAGCGUCAGUUUUUGAUACUUGUUCAGAGGUAACACUCCACUGUUCAGCCUAAAAAUAUUGAAAUUAUUGUCAAUUUAUGCCAUUUUGAAUCAUGUGACACUGUAUAGGUGUUCUCACUUCUCUUGUACCUGCAGCUUGCUGUCACAAAAACCCACUUCUUCUUCUUCUUGCAGCUCUGAGCGUAAAACACCAGGGUUAUAUCUAGCUGGUGUGACGGCGCUCGUACAGCAAACGUGUUCUCUCCCUGUAGCCGUGCACCACCAGGGGUUACAAACCACAUGUUCUCCAUGGAUGUAGGUUUUAUUUAUUAAUGUGAUGAACUGAUUGCAUUAGAGGAGAAAAAAGCAGUUCUUAGAUGUAUUUUUGUAGAGAACCCCUCAGUUGAAUGAGGCACGGUUUUUGUAUCAUGUACUCUGAUGCUAUUUUAGCUGGUAAACAAACCCCACAGCCACUAAAUAUCCGUCUCCUUGUUAAUCUGUCGUACAUUUGUUCUGGUCAUCAAUCAGUGGGGCUUAAAAGGUCACAUUUGAGUUCCUUCAGAGAACAGUUUCACCCUGUUUUUGUCAGAGAAAUGUCUUGAGAUCCGAUAAACUAAUAUUUAGCUGACUUUUUUUGUGUAAUCUAAUUUCAGCCAAACUCAUAUCCACAGAUAUUAUCCCUGCUAAUAUGAUAGAUCUAGUAAAUCCAUUGAGAAAAAUAAAUUACUCUGAAAAUGGAAAUAAAUGGGUAGACUUGAUAUCAGAGCUGUGUUGUCCUUGUGUCUUUUUCUUCUGACUUGCUUUCACACACAAAAAAACUCCAUUAUCAGCAAACACAUCUGCGAAUCGAUACCUUUUGCCGCCGUAAUUUCCCCUGCGUGUGAAAUAAUAAAGCGAAAAAGGCAAAAUGAGCUUUCGGAGAAUAUUUUAAACACUUUAUAGACUGAAAAUAGGCGAUUUAAAGUCUGGAAGACGACGCCUCGGAUGAUCAGACGCUUGCCUCGGGAUGUGCAUGAGAGUGUGUGUGUGUGUGUGUGUGUGUGUGUGUGUGUGUGUGUGUGUGUGUGUGUGUGUGUGUGUGUGUGUGUGUGUGUGUGUGUGUGUGUGUGUGUGUGUGUGUGUGUGUGUGUGAGAGCGUGCACGUGUGUGUGUGUGUUUGUGUCCAGGAGGCCCGUCGACAGCUGGGACCAUAAUGUUCAAUGAGUAAAAUAGCGUCAAAACUCAACAUGUUCAACACCUGAGGCUGUGUGUGUGUGUGCGUGUGUGUGUGUGUGUGUGUGCAUGUUGUUGAGAAACAUGGAGGUAUGAGAUCCCAGAAUCAGCCACAAGGGUGAGACUCUGGCAGAAUAACAGCUAAAUAAGGGAACAUUGUGAUAUUAUAACCUGUGAUUUAUAACUGAUUCAUGCGAUAACCUAAUAAAUGUGUUAAAGCUAACACAAAUACCUAUUUUUAUAAUCUUUGUUUAAGAAGUAACUAAGUCAGAACAGCAACUCACUGUGAAAAGUGAUGUUUUGGUUACCAGGGAAACUGAUGUUUUUGAUAGAUAUGACAAAUAUGAGGAACUAAUGCUUUAUUAAGUGGAAAUGCUUUUAAGAGUUUUGAUUACUAUGAAACUGAGAUGUUUUAGAAAGAGUUUUGAUUACUGUUAAACUAAGGUUUUUAACUUAGUAAUGAAGUGAGAAGUCAAGAGCUAAGGUGAACUGGGGUCAAGUGUUCACAGUAAAGGUUAUUAACCUCGAAAUAGACGUCAGGGAUUUUUGUGAGUCUGACAUCUGUUUCCUGACCGGAGGCCUGCUCUGAGCUGCAGAUGGAACAAAUACAUUAAUAGAGAAGUGAGACUGAGUGGAAGGGUCCAAACAGUCCAAACAGUUAGUUUGAGUUCCUCAAACAUGGAGGAGUCUUAGGAUGAGUUGGGGGGGAGCUGGUGGAACAGUCCAGAAUAGAUGGUUUUGGUUCCUCCAGAGCACGCAGAGGCCACGAGGUCAGUGGAUGGAAGCAGUGCACGAGUAAGGAGGGGGAUGGAUGUUGUCAUCAUGUAUGUUAAUUAAGUGUGCAGUCAUUGCAUAUGCAAAAGGUUCAGUUGUUGUAUAAAUUGCACUGGAUCGAGACACGAGCUGGGAGUCGUUGCGAGGUGGUCACUGGUUGCAAUCCAGGGUAGAAAUGCUCUGAGCAAAGGGGAUUUUACCACGUAACUCGGACGGGGGAUUCAACAUGAUCUGCAAAGGAAUAUCUGUUCUAUUGGAAUUAUGGACUGAAGGAGUGCUCUUUCUGCACUGUUUGAGGAUUACGAAAGACUGUGAUCUAAAAAUAACGCUGACUGAAGGAAUAUAACUGAACUCUACUAUUUCCAAAGGAUUAACACCAGAAUGGAUUAACAAAGUUUUUAUUGGGCCAAACAACAUAAAGGAUACCAGCAGAUCUAAAUGGGGACUGAACUCUCUCUCCACCUCCUCCCUGGAGCAGAGCCCCAGCGGGGCGUCGGUCUUCAGGUGAGCAGCAGGUGAGGCCACACCCUCUGCUCUCCCCCUCCAGAUUACAUAGUUUGGGUGAUUAUUGCUCUUCUUAGAUAAAAGCAUAGUUCCAGUUAGGAGUCAUAUUAGAGGAUUGUUAUAGAAAUUAAUGUUUAAUUGGUUGUCUGAUGAUUUAUGGGCUAUUGCUAUUUCCCUGCUGAAAUAUUAUAAUAAAGU